GGUCGCCCCAGGUGAUAUCGCGGCCGUACCUCUGCAGCAGUGGCCCCAGGCGUUCCUCCCAGCCAAACUUCCGCAUGCGGAUACUCCUGUGCCUGGAAGAGCUUCCCAAUGUCACCAGGCUAAGUCGCUGCUUAUUUUUGUUUUCAAUGAGGUCAUCCUUUACUGAUGAAGUGGUGGGUACUCCAGUGUACCCUUUCAGUUCUG